AUGGCCACGUCAUGUUGAAACACUGGAUUCUGUACAAUCAUCAAAGUUAAGCAACAUUGAGCCUGGUCAGUACAUAGAUAGGUGAGUGCUUGGGAAUACCAGGUGCUGUAA